AACGAACGCUGGCGGCAGGCCUAACACAUGCAAGUCGAACGCCCCGCAAGGGGAGUGGCAGACGGGUGAGUAACACGUGGGAACCUUCCCUAUAGUAUGGAAUAGCCCAGGGAAACUUGGAGUAAUACCGUAUACGCCCGAAAGGGGAAAGAUUUAUCGCUAUAGGAUGGGCCCGCGUAGGAUUAGCUAGUUGGUGAGGUAAUGGCUCACCAAGGCGACGAUCCUUAGCUGGUUUGAGAGAACGACCAGCCACACUGGGACUGAGACACGGCCCAGACUCCUACGGGAGGCAGCAGUGGGGAAUAUUGGACAAUGGGCGCAAGCCUGAUCCAGCCAUGCCGCGUGAGUGAUGAAGGCCUUAGGGUUGUAAAGCUCUUUUGCCGGGGACGAUAAUGACGGUACCCGGAGAAUAAGUCCCGGCUAACUUCGUG
rnacentral:rRNA from 1 species